UACGUAGGGUGCAGGCGUUAAUCGGAAUUACUGGGCGUAAAGCGUGCGCAGGCGGUUUGCUAAGGCAGGUGUGAAAUCCCCGGGCUUAACCUGGGAACUGCGCUUGUUACUGGCAGGCUUGAGUGUGGCAGAGGGGGGUGGAAUUCCACGUGUAGCAGUGAAAUGCGUAGAGAUGUGGAGGAACACCGAUGGCGAAGGCAGCCCCCUGGGCUAACACUGACGCUCAUGCACGAAAGCGUGGGGAGCAAACAGG
rnacentral:rRNA from 1 species